rnacentral:sRNA from 21 species
CCCGCACCUAGCCCGACGGGGCGAAAAGCCGGACACCCUGCCGGCGUGGUGCGGGGACUUGUCCAGGG